CCUACGGGGGGCAGCAGUAGGGAAUAUUGCUCAAUGGGGGAAACCCUGAAGCAGCAACGCCGCGUGGAGGAUGAAGGUUUUCGGAUUGUAAACUCCUUUUGUUAGAGAAGAUAAUGACGGUAUCUAACGAAUAAGCACCGGCUAACUCCGUGCCAGCAGCCGCGGUAAUACGGAGGGUGCAAGCGUUACUCGGAAUCACUGGGCGGAAAGAGCGCGUAGGCUGGAUAGCAAGUCAGAUGUGAAAUCCUAUGGCUUAACCAUAGAACUGCAUUUGAAACUGUUAUUCUAGAGUAUGGGAGAGGUAGGUGGAAUUCUUGGUGUAGGGGUAAAAUCCGUAGAGAUCAAGAGGAAUACUCAUUGCGAAGGCGACCUGCUAGAACAUAACUGACGCUGAUGCGCGAAAGCGUGGGGAGCAAACAGGAUUAGAUACCCCAGUAGUC
rnacentral:rRNA from 1 species